GGGUCAGUAGGUUGGUCGUGCCACCGGUACGUACUGGUCUCACUGAUUCCUCCUUCCUGAAGAACUGUAAUGCCAUUAAUUUGGUGUUGCGGGGAAACAGGACUGUUACUUUUAAAAAAUUAGAGUGUUUAAAGCAAGCUAACGCUUGAAUACAUUAGCAUGGAAUAAUGAAAUAGGACGAUCGAUCCUAUUUUGUUGGUUUCUAGGAUUGACGUA
rnacentral:rRNA from 1 species